rnacentral:rRNA from 1 species
UUAGGAAUCUUGGACAAUGGGCGCAAGCCUGAUCCAGCCAUGCCGCGUGAGUGAUGAAGGCCUUAGGGUUGUAAAGCUCUUUCAGCGGGGAAGAUAAUGACGGUACCCGCAGAAGAAGUCCCGGCUAACUUCGUGCCAGCAGCCGCGGUAAUACGCAGGGGGCUAGCGUUGCUCGGAAUCACUGGGCGUAAAGCGCACGUAGGCGGCUUUCUAAGUCAGGGGUGAAAUCCUGGAGCUCAACUCCAGAACUGCCUUUGAUACUGGGAAGCUCGAGUCCGGAAGAGGCGAGUGGAACUCCGAGUGUAGAGGUGAAAUUCGUAGAUAUUCGGAAGAACACCAGUGGCGAAGGCGGCUCACUGGUCCGGUACUGACGCUGAGGUGCGAAAGCGUGGGGAGCAAAC